AAACUUAAGAGUUUGAUCCUGGCUCAGAUUGAACGCUGGCGGCAUGCUUUACACAUGCAAGUCGAACGGCAGCACGGGUGCUUGCACCUGGUGGCGAGUGGCGGACGGGUGAGUAAUACAUCGGAACGUGUCCUGAAGUGGGGGAUAACGCAUCGAAAGAUGUGCUAAUACCGCAUAUACUCUAAGGAGGAAAGUAGGGGAUCGAAAGACCUUAUGCUUUUGGAGCGGCCGAUGUCUGAUUAGCUAGUUGGUAAGGUAAUGGCUUACCAAGGCGACGAUCAGUAGUUGGUCUGAGAGGACGACCUGCCACACUGGGUCUGAGUCACGGCCCAGAAUCCUUCGGGAGGCAGCAGUGGGGAAUUUUGUACAAUGGGCGCAAGCCUGAUCCAGCAAUGCCGCGUGAGUGAAGAAGGCCUUCGGGUUGUAAAGCUCUUUCAGCCGGAAAGAAAACGCACGGGUUAAUAACCUGUGUGGAUGACGGUACCGGAAGAAGAAGCACCGGCUAACUACGUGCCAGCAGCCGCGGUAAUACG
rnacentral:rRNA from 1 species